rnacentral:tRNA from 1 species
GGUCCCGUGGUGUAGCGGUUAUCACGUCGCCCUGUCACGGCGAAGAUCGCGGGUUCGAUUCUCGUCACCC